rnacentral:rRNA from 1 species
AGAGUUUGAUCCUGGCUCAGGACGAACGCUGGCGGCGUGCCUAACACAUGCAAGUCGGACGGGCUUGGGGGCAACUCCAAGUCAGUGGCGAACGGGUGCGUAACACGUGAGCAAUUUGCCUUCAGGUGGGGGAUAGCCGGCCCAACGCCGGGUAAUACCGCAUACCGCCCCGGGGUCUCAUGACCCUGGGGUAAAAGCGGCCGCAAGGCGCGCCGGAAGAGGAGCUCGCGGCCUAUCAGCUAGUUGGUGGGGUAACGGCUCACCAAGGCUACGACGGGUAGCUGGUCUGAGAGGAUGGCCAGCCACAUUGGGACUGAGAAACGGCCCAGACUCCUACGGGAGGCAGCAGUGGGGAAUAUUGCGCAAUGGCCGAAAGGCUGACGCAGCGACGCCGCGUGUGGGAUGAAGGCCUUCGGGUCGUAAACCACUGUCGGGGGGGGGCGAAUACUUGGGCCUCGUAAGGGGAUCCAGGGGUGACGGUACCCCCAAAGGAAGCACCGGCUAACUCCGUGCCAGCAGCCGCGGUAAUACGGAGGGUGCAAGCGUUGUCCGGAAUCACUGGGCGUAAAGGGCGCGUAGGCGGUUUGGUAAGUCACUUGUGAAAUCCCGGUGCUCAACGCCGGGGCUGCAGGUGAGACUGCCAGACUGGAGCUCGGUAGAGGCGAAUGGAAUUCCCGGUGUAGCGGUGGAAUGCGUAGAUAUCGGGAAGAACACCGGUGGCGAAGGCGGUUCGCUGGGCCGAUGCUGACGCUGAGGCGCGAAAGCGUGGGGAGCAAACAGGAUUAGAUACCCUAGUAGUCC